GGCCGGGCUGCGCGCCCCCGCGCCCCGCAGCGCAGAACUGGGGUGACUGCACCAGCAAGGCCCUGCCCUGGGGCCGGCUAACGAAGAGAGCCGUGCCGACUGACAGCAAGGUCUUGAAGCGGGGAAAGAGAGGGAGGAGAUGGAGUAGGUCAAGGAAAACCUGCGAGGCAAGCCGUGGGUGAUAAACAGAAGCUAAAUGAACGCGCAAGGAAAAAAGACUAGAACCUGCAAAAAAAGCAGAAACCUACAAAAGAGGAAAUGGAUCAAGACUGGGUGAGAAAUGGUACAGCACUUGCUUUCUUCCAGCUUCCAGAGAGAAGGAAAUGAGCAGCAGGAUCAUAUUUACAAAGCACGAUGUUUGUAGGGCAAAAUCCUAAGAUGACUCCAGAGCUUCCUACUUGAACCAAGCUGCUGAGUACUACUAUCCAGGACUCUCAUGCUCUGCAACUCACCAUAUUUAAUAGAAAAACUAAUAAAAAAGUACUUACCUGUACCGCUCCUCCUGCAAAGUCUGCAUUAUUAAUGUGUGAUAGCCACUUUUGUACGCUGAGGAUCUGGGGUCCCAUCAACAGAGUCUGCAUUGAUGCUGCCAUCAGUGCUCGAGGCCACUGCACUAGAGGUCUGCGCUAGGCUGCUGACUUCCAAUCGCUCGAUCUAGAU